CCCGCGUCCGGGCCACUAGCGCCGCGCGGACAAAGACCCGGGCGCGGGGAGGGGCCGGCCCGCGGGGAAGGACAAUGCCGCCGGGGCCGGCGCUCCCCACCCCCCGCCCUCGCCCUCGCCCAGCCCAGCCCUAGUCCCGCCCCGUCCCGUCCCGGGCCCGCCCCUGUCCCGGCGGCGCCGGGAAGUGGCCGCUCCUCGCCCGGCCGCGACUGCGGGGCCCGCCGCAAACUUUGCGCGGGGCCGGGGGCAGCUCUGCCCGCACGUGCCCCGCGCGCUCUCCUGGCGGGUCGGCCCCGGCGUGUCCGAGCCCGGAGCAGGCGGCGCGAGGGACGGGAGCAGCUGCAGGUGCAGCGGCAGGCACAGCUUCAUCAAGAGAUAGGAGUGAGCUGAUGUGGUCUGAAAUACAACUGUAAAACUGCCUGAUGUCUUCUAAAAAUGUUGCAGCUAAAUGAUCUUGUGAACUUCCCCUUCUAAUUCCUACUCAAUGCACGGACAAAAGGACAAAAUUUGGACUCUUGGAAAAUUUGCCAAAGACUUUUAUGAUAAAUAAACGUGCAGUGUUUUAUUUC